UAGGGAAUCUUCGGCAAUGGGGGGAACCCUGACCGAGCAACGCCGCGUGAGUGAAGAAGGUUUUCGGAUCGUAAAGCUCUGUUGUUAAGGAAGAACGAGUGUGAGAAUGGAAAGUUCAUACUGUGACGGUACUUAACCAGAAAGGGACGGCUAACUACGUGCCAGCAGCCGCGGUAAUACGUAGGUCCCGAGCGUUGUCCGGAUUUAUUGGGCGUAAAGCGAGCGCAGUCGGUUAGAUAAGUCUGAAGUUAAAGGCAGUGGCUCAACCAUUGUAGGCUUUGGAAACUGUUUAGCUUGAGUGCAGAAGGGGAGAGUGGAAUUCCAUGUGUAGCGGUGAAAUGCGUAGAUAUAUGGAGGAACACCGGUGGCGAAAGCGGCUCUCUGGUCUGUAACUGACGCUGAGGCUCGAAAGCGUGGGGAGCGAACAGG
rnacentral:rRNA from 1 species